UGGGGAAUUUUGCACAAUGGGGGAAACCCUGAUGCAGCGACGCCGCGUGAUUUAGAAGGCCUUCGGGUUGUAAAAAUCUUUUCUAUGGGAAGAAAAUGACAGUACCAUAGGAAUAAGGACCGGCUAAUUACGUGCCAGCAGCCGCGGUAAUACGUAAGGUCCGAGCGUUGUCCGGAAUCAUUGGGCGUAAAGGGUACGUAGGCGGGUAAGCAAGUUAGAAGUGAAAUCCUGUAGCUCAACUUCAGUAAGCUUUUAAAACUGCUCAUCUUGAGAUAUGGAAGGGAAAGUGGAAUUCCUAGUGUAGCGGUGAAAUGCGCAGAUAUUAGGAGGAAUACCGGUGGCGAAGGCGACUUUCUGGCCAUAAUCUGACGCUGAGGUACGAAAGCGUGGGUAGCAAACAGG
rnacentral:rRNA from 2 species